ACAUUUAUUUACUUUAAAGAAAAUUGAUGCCCUAAAAUGUUGGAUUUCCCUAACUUUUUUUAAUUAAGGCAUUAAGAUCAAUUUCCAAAAGAUGGUUUUCUAUUCCUCUAUUUAAUCAACUUUAGCAUGGGUGUGUAAACUUAUUCAAACCACUAUAUACAUGUGCUUUCAAGACAGAAGGUGCACUGGCAGCAGAAAAAAGUGAGCUUUCACUUUGGCUUUGUUUCUCAAUGCAGAAAAAAGGCUUGACUCCUCUUUAGAGCAAGUCUUUCUGUUAAAGAGAAACUUAAGUAUAUAUUAAUACAAAGGCUCAUAAAUUAUGAAUGUUAUGGCUACAGCAUGGCACCUUACUAUAGUUACUUUUCAUUGCAGCAUCAAACCCUGUUGAUGUAACUGAGACCAGAGUAUAGUUGCUGCUCCAGGGUCUUUGCCUUUUAAACGUGCAUACAGUGGGCAGAUUGGAUGUGCAUUGGGUGCGCAAAAGGGAAGUUAUUAUAAAUGAUAUGUACAAAAAAUAUGUAUUGCACUUUGCCAAAGUUAAAGAGAUUGUAAAGAAUGAAAAUGUGAGUCCAGUCACAGUAAGUGAGUGAGUUCAGGGACCUCAGCAGCCUCCCCGUCCACGGAUGUCCAUCCUGCAACAGAGUGGGGAUGAAUUCAAAGGUCAGACGCCGUGGCCUUCUGGGCCUCUCGGUGGAACAUCUUGGCUGAAGGUGCUCCCCUUUCUCAACCAGCAUGUCGUGGUCGUAGAGGGGGUGGAAGACGUUCAGGAUGCUUAUACCAUCUAUUUGGACAGCAUCCUCUCGCUCACCACCUCCAGUGUUGUUGUAGCCUGUAUAACUUUGAACAUCCACUAAAGAUAAUUAU